AGAAACCAGAGCCUCUCUUACAGGCUUUUGAUGAAGCCAUUGCUGAGCUUGACACUUUAAAUGAGGACUCCUACAAAGACAGCACCUUGAUCAUGCAGCUUCUAAGGGACAACCUCACUCUUUGGACGUCAGAAAACCAGGGCGACGAAGCAGGCGACAACGAGAACUAGGGGAGCCGCACUGAUCUCCAAACACCCACACAUCCACCUUAAAUACACAAAUGGCUUCCACCAACCCUCCCAUCUCAUUCCACCCUACAGCACCCACCCCUCUCAAAAUCCAGUUCCCAGCCCCGCUCCCCUGUACCUUCUGAACGAUGAUCAGCACCCGCAGGAAGACGCUCAGCGAAGCCCCCGUGGCUGGGAGGGGGGGGUGUUGGCUCACAGGGUGACAUGCUGACAUUAGAGCAGGUCCAGUCAUUUUGUUUGUGAAUUUAAUGUGUACUGAUUAUCAAACCCUGUCCUUUAUGCAUGUCUGAGUGAGACUGUAAGAGUGUGUGUGCUGCUAACGGAGAGUAACUGUGUGUGUGUGUGUGUGUGUUUGAAAGUGAGAGUGAGUGUAUUGGGGAUCGGGGUUGUGAACUCUAAUUUUCCUUCCUGAUAAAUCCCUUUGUUCCACUUUAGCUGGUUGU